rnacentral:rRNA from 1 species
CCCUUAGAUGUUCUGGGCCGCACGCGCGCUACACUGACGAAGUUAGCGAGCAUGUCCUACGCCGACAGGUGCGGGGAAUCUUGUCAAACUUCGUCGUGAUGGGGAUUGAUUAUUGAAAUUCUUGAUCAUCAACGAGGAAUUCCUAGUAAGCGCAAGUCAGCAGCUUGCGUUGAUUACGUCCCUGCCCUUUGUACACACCGCCCGUCGCUACUACCGAUUGAAUGGUUUAGUGAGAUCUUCGGAUUGGCGCCACUGCGGCUCAGCAAUGGGCUCGGUGGAUGCCGAAAAGUUGAUCAAACUUGAUCAUUUAGAGGAAGUAAAAGUCGUAACA